GACAAAGACACAGAGCGCGGCCUGGGAGGCGGAGCUCUGCGGGCGGCCGGGGCCGCCUCCUUCCAGGCGCUGCUGCCCCAACACAGGCGGGCACUCUCUGCGGGUCCCGCGGCUCCCGCGGCUUCCGGCCCACUCAGCGCCUCCAGAGGCCUCAGACGAGUCUCGCUCUGUUGCCCAGGAUGGAGUGCAGUGGCGCGAUCUCGGCUCGCUGCAAGCUCCGCCUCAGCCUCCGGAGUAGCUGGGACUACAGGAGCCCGCCACCACGCCCAGCUAAUUUUUUUGUAUUUUUAGUAGAGACGGGGUUUCACCGUGUUAGCCAGGAUGGUCUCGAUCUCCUGACCUUGUGAUCCGCCUGCCUCGGCCUCCCAAAGUGCUGGGAUUACAGGCGUGAGCCACCGCGCCCGGCCGAAAGUCUUUUAAGAUAGGGAAGAGCAGUGCCCAGUGGGGUGUCCCAGGGAUAAAAAUAGGGCAGUAGGUGAAGGCGGGGGGUGUGAGCCAGGCAGGCAGGGGGGACCAGACACCAUGUGAUGGGUGCAGGGGUGGGACCCACGGAGGCUCUGAAAAAGGCCUGGGCCUUAGAAGAUGGGGAAGCAGGAGGACCCACUUAGAGGCCUUCACAACCUUCUAGGGCACAGGCCAGAAUGCGGUAUAGGUUUCAGAAGGGGGCUGG
ensembl:lncRNA novel transcript